GUAAUUGUGCAUUCGUAGAGAGGAAAAAAGCUAGCAGCACUUUUUAACAAGUCUCCAAGUAAGCGGGGAAACAAAUGAAGGGAGAAAACUCUGCACAGCUAAUUAAUUCUACAGGGACGCAGUGAACUCUUCUGUUUUGUUGAGUGUAGCUUCGUAAGCCUAGAAACAAUCUACUUUGCACUCAGUGGGAGCAGAGAGAUAUCCCAGAGCUGCACAUCUGAAACAGAAACCCCAGGUGUUGCUCUACCUUAAUGAUAGAGUCUUUUCGGAUUCUCCAGACUUCUUCUAUGUGGGUGGAAUUUAAUGUUGACAUUGCAGCUUACUCAAUUUGGGCCAGACCAUCGCAUGUCUAAUGCUUCCUUGCAGAGAGCAUAAGAACAUAAGAUUGGCCAUAAUGGAUCAGACCAAAGGUCCAUACAGCCCAGUAUCCUGUCUG